UUAAGUGACUAAGCGUACACGGUGGAUGCCUGGGCAGUCAGAGGCGAUGAAGGACGUACUAACUUGCGAUAAGCGCAGAUAAGGCAGUAAGAGCCGUUUGAGUCUGCGAUUUCCGAAUGGGGAAACCCAACUGCAUAAGCAGUUACUGUUAACUGAAUACAUAGGUUAACAGAGCAAACCGGGGGAACUGAAACAUCUAAGUACCCCGAGGAGAAGAAAUCAACCGAGAUUCCGGUAGUAGCGGCGAGCGAACCUGGAUUAGCCCUUAAGCACUCGGUGAAGUAGGUGAACAAGCUGGAAAGCUUGGCGAUACAGGGUGAUAGCCCCGUAACCGACGCUUCAUCGAGCGUGAAAUCGAGUAGGGCGGGACACGUGAUAUCCUGUCUGAAUAUGGGGGGACCAUCCUCCAAGGCUAAAUACUCCUGACUGACCGAUAGUGAACCAGUACCGUGAGGGAAAGGCGAAAAGAACCCCUGUGAGGGGAGUGAAAUAGAACCUGAAACCGUGUACGUACAAGCAGUAGGAGCACCUUCGUGGUGUGACUGCGUACCUUUUGUAUAAUGGGUCAGCGACUUAUAUUCAGUGGCAAGGUUAACCGUAUAGGGGAGCCGUAGCGAAAGCGAGUCUUAACUGGGCGUUCAGUCUCUGGAUAUAGACCCGAAACCGGGUGAUCUAGCCAUGGGCAGGUUGAAGGUUGAGUAACAUCAACUGGAGGACCGAACCGACUAAUGUUGAAAAAUUAGCGGAUGACUUGUGGCUAGGGGUGAAAGNGCCAAUCAAACUCGGAGAUAGCUGGUUCUCCCCGAAAGCUAUUUAGGUAGCGCCUCGGACGAAUACUACUGGGGGUAGAGCACUGUUAAGGCUAGGGGGUCAUCCCGACUUACCAACCCUUUGCAAACUCCGAAUACCAGUAAGUACUAUCCGGGAGACACACGGCGGGUGCUAACGUCCGUCGUGGAGAGGGAAACAACCCAGACCGCCAGCUAAGGUCCCAAAGUAUUGCUAAGUGGGAAACGAUGUGGGAAGGCUCAGACAGCUAGGAUGUUGGCUUAGAAGCAGCCAUCAUUUAAAGAAAGCGUAAUAGCUCACUAGUCGAGUCGGCCUGCGCGGAAGAUGUAACGGGGCUAAGCAAUACACCGAAGCUGCGGCAAUAUCUUUUAGAUAUUGGGUAGGGGAGCGUUCUGUAAGCCGUUGAAGGUGAAUCGUAAGGUUUGCUGGAGGUAUCAGAAGUGCGAAUGCUGACAUGAGUAACGACAAAGGGGGUGAAAAACCUCCUCGCCGGAAGACCAAGGGUUCCUGUCCAACGUUAAUCGGGGCAGGGUGAGUCGACCCCUAAGGUGAGGCCGAAAGGCGUAAUCGAUGGGAAACGGGUUAAUAUUCCCGUACUUCUGACUAUUGCGAUGGGGGGACGGAGAAGGCUAGGUGGGCCAGGCGACGGUUGUCCUGGUUCAAGUGCGUAGGCUUGAGAGUUAGGUAAAUCCGGCUCUCUCUAAGGCUGAGACACGACGUCGAGCUGCUACGGCAGUGAAGUCAUUGAUGCCAUGCUUCCAGGAAAAGCCUCUAAGCUUCAGAUAGUCAGGAAUCGUACCCCAAACCGACACAGGUGGUCGGGUAGAGAAUACCAAGGCGCUUGAGAGAACUCGGGUGAAGGAACUAGGCAAAAUGGUACCGUAACUUCGGGAGAAGGUACGCUCUUGAUGGUGAAGUCCCUCGCGGAUGGAGCUGACGAGAGUCGCAGAUACCAGGUGGCUGCAACUGUUUAUUAAAAACACAGCACUGUGCAAAAUCGCAAGAUGACGUAUACGGUGUGACGCCUGCCCGGUGCCGGAAGGUUAAUUGAUGGGGUUAGCGCAAGCGAAGCUCUUGAUCGAAGCCCCGGUAAACGGCGGCCGUAACUAUAACGGUCCUAAGGUAGCGAAAUUCCUUGUCGGGUAAGUUCCGACCUGCACGAAUGGCGUAAUGAUGGCCACGCUGUCUCCACCCGAGACUCAGUGAAAUUGAAAUCGCUGUGAAGAUGCAGUGUACCCGCGGCUAGACGGAAAGACCCCGUGAACCUUUACUACAGCUUGGCACUGAACAUUGAACCUACAUGUGUAGGAUAGGUGGGAGGCUAUGAAGACGUGACGCCAGUUGCGUUGGAGCCGUCCUUGAAAUACCACCCUUGUAUGUUUGAUGUUCUAACUUAGACCCGUUAUCCGGGUUGAGGACAGUGCCUGGUGGGUAGUUUGACUGGGGCGGUCUCCUCCCAAAGAGUAACGGAGGAGCACGAAGGUGGGCUAAUCACGGUUGGACAUCGUGAGGUUAGUGCAAUGGCAUAAGCCCGCUUAACUGCGAGAAUGACGGUUCGAGCAGGUGCGAAAGCAGGUCAUAGUGAUCCGGUGGUUCUGUAUGGAAGGGCCAUCGCUCAACGGAUAAAAGGUACUCCGGGGAUAACAGGCUGAUACCGCCCAAGAGUUCAUAUCGACGGCGGUGUUUGGCACCUCGAUGUCGGCUCAUCACAUCCUGGGGCUGAAGUCGGUCCCAAGGGUAUGGCUGUUCGCCAUUUAAAGUGGUACGCGAGCUGGGUUUAGAACGUCGUGAGACAGUUCGGUCCCUAUCUGCCGUGGGCGUUGGAAGAUUGAAGGGGGCUGCUCCUAGUACGAGAGGACCGGAGUGGACGAACCUCUGGUGUUCGGGUUGUGUCGCCAGACGCAUUGCCCGGUAGCUAAGUUCGGAAUUGAUAAGCGCUGAAAGCAUCUAAGCGCGAAGCGAGCCCUGAGAUGAGUCUUCCCUGAUACUUUAAGUAUCCUAAAGGGUUGUUCGAGACUAGAACGUUGAUAGGCAGGGUGUGUAAGCGUUGUGAGGCGUUGAGCUAACCUGUACUAAUUGCCCGUGAGGCUUAACCAU
rnacentral:rRNA from 1 species